AAAUCUAAUUCAAAGCAAAAACUAUACUGUAAGUGUAUAUCAAUAAUACUAAAAUAUCACUGGUGCAAAUGAUGACAAAAUUUUCAUUCAUCACAAUGGAGUGGCAACAAGCUUCAGAAUCCUGUUUGACCAAUCAGAUUCAGGUAAGAUCUACCAACAUUUUACCAACGUUGAAUAUUUGGAAAAGAGAAGUAACGACUCCGUCUCAGUGUCUCCUUUUUCCUCUCUCCUCCUUUUCUCACAUAUGAGAGCGUUUCGCUCUCUGUGGCUCAGCGUGACACACUCCACGUUCGAAUGAAAGACGGGAGCGAGGCAGCAUCCCACGGGGAGAGACACGGAGACAAAGCCGAAGAGUCUCUGUAUGGCUUCGGCCUUGGGGAGCCGAAGGUUCGGUUUAGGUUACACCAACGUGCCUCGGCCUCGAGUCUCUGUGACCCAGACCUGCACAAUCACCAAACGCCGGCCCAGCAGUGAGCCUUGUAUCUCAGUCAGAUGAGGUGAAUUCAGAGCGGCAGGGUGGGGAGAGAAACGUGACUGCAAAAGAUAGAGUGAGUGGAAAAACCUGCAUGCUGCUAGUGCAGCUCUUGAUGACUCAUAAAGUGUUGCC